rnacentral:lncRNA from 1 species
CUGCUAUCUGUUCAAGUUACUUUUGGCUUGUUGUAAUUGUGUUUAUGUUUUAUUAUGUAUUAGUAUUACUCUGAUCAGUCUAAGUUAAUUAGUAGAAGCCCGUCAGUUGGUGGACUUUUUUAUCCAGUACCAAGUAAAAGUUAAGUUUUAACCACUGUAGUUUUUACCAUAUGCAGUAUCUGACUAAAUCUACCUGUCACAUUGGAAAUCCUCAUAUUCUCUCUUCUUUCUGUGUUGCAAACUUUUUUCAGAGGUUAUCUCCCAAUUAGGAGGACACGCCAACAUCGGCUCUGCCUUCUUUUUCUUUCUUUUUUCUUUAAUCUAAAUAUUCUACUAAUAUAUACAUACAUACAUACAUGUGGUGCCCUGAGAAACUUGAUCCUAUUGCUUUAAAUAAUUUAUACAAUAUAUAGGGUAAUUAACACAGAAGCAUUUGGUUAAAAUAUAGCCAUCUUGGGUUUCUGGUGUUCUUUGAGUCUUAUGGUUUAUGAUCAUGUUUCCAGAACCCUAGACGCCACCAUUUCCUUGUAACACCUGUCUCAUUGCUUUUCUACAGUUCUUUAAGAAUAUUUCCAGAGCCGCAAGCUAAUGGUUACAUAAUACCACUUGGCCUGACUGUAAAUAAAUUCAAGGUCUUGGUAACUGGAAACCUUAAGGUUUUACUCAGAAUAUUUGACUUUUGUCUCAGAUACACUAAAUAAUCAGAAUAGAUCUUCUUUUCUUGCACACAUGUUUUUUUUCAAUAAGAUGCCAUAAAAUGUCGCAUUAAUUGUGUGCAUGACUGGUAAUUGAUUCCUAUCAAAAACUAAUGAACAAGUUCACUAAUUAUCCCCGAAAAAACCCACAUAAUCUUACUAUAAGCAAUCUAUCAAAACAGAACAAUACACCAGAGUAAAUCAAUUAAUUCCUCUCCUUAUUAAUAAUUCAAAAAAUAUAUUCAGAUUAUUAAAACAAUGGCAGAUAAAAUAGCACACAAAAAAUCUUUAUGAAAUAAGGUGCUAACAGUACACCUAACAGUAAUGACGCUGUAUGUCUGACAACCAGGAGGGUGUAACAAGGUUAGUUUAUAAAAGUGCCAACUUCUAUUGAAAUCCCCACUUUUUGUAAAAUAAAAAAAGCAGACACUCUAAAGGAGAUCAGCAACUUAAAGUGCUUUAGGGGUCCGGAGCGUCCCUUUAAAAUGAGUGUAGUCUUCAUGAAAGGGACAUUGAUCUGGAAAUAGAUGGUUAAUCUCUAAAAUGAGUUCUGAAAUUGGAAAUGGAACACAGCACCACACUAGUCAACUUGGAUAAAUAAAUAGUCUAGGAAUAAAAUGUUGAGUGGAGCUGUCCACUCUCUCACCCGGUGAAGAGUUAUUUAAUCAAUUUAGGAAAUGCAAUACAUCAAGAAGAGAGAGUUGAUGGAUGCCACAAGCCUAAACAUUAAUGGAUUCAUCAGUGAUAAUUGAGAUUAAAUUUAAAGAGAUGAGACACAAAACAGGGAAAAAUGGAAGAUGUCUAACUAAGAGCAGGUUAGGUUAAGUAAGGUAUAUGUAAAGCAAGUGAUAAUUUGUCAAAUGCAAAACAUUUACAGAAUGUCUCAGUUGUGUGUAACUGCAAGUGAUAAUUAGAGGUGAAUGAUAGCAGGUUUGGAAACUAUGGUCUUUGAAUGAAAAGAGUGGAUAUUAGUUAAGUACUUGUAGAAGAGUUGGGGUUAAGGAUUCUGAAAAAAAAAUUGCAUGCCUUCAUAAAAAAGAAUGGAGCCAAAAAAAAAAAAAAACCUAUUUUUUAUGGUUUUAUUAUUAAUUUACUUUACUCUAUAUUUUAAGGAACACUAUAGGGUCAGGAAAGCAUUGAAUAGACUAGGAGCAGGCAGGUAAAACAGAACGGAGUAUGAGACAAAACGAUUUGUAUCUACAGGACCAACAUUCGAGGCUGUAGCCCCCCAAGUGAUGUCCUUGGGAAAAGGUUAACACAAGUUAAAGCUGAUUUUCAAUGUUUUAUUCAGUGGUGUAAAUUUAAGAGAAGGUACCAUUACCUGUUUAAAGUAAUAAAACUGAUGUUUUUCAACCAUUUUGUUUAGUCACUGUGUAAUGCAUGUGUCUGUGUGUAAUUUGUUUGUAGUGUUUUCCAAUAAAAUGUAAAGGAUUUUUUUGCCUUGCUUUCUUAA